rnacentral:rRNA from 1 species
CCUACGGGUGGCAGCAGUGGGGAAUAUUGGACAAUGGGCGAAAGCCUGAUCCAGCCAUGCCGCGUGUGUGAAGAAGGCCUUCGGGUUGUAAAGCACUUUCAGUGGGGAAGAAAGCCUUGGGGCUAAUACCCUCGAGGAAGGACAUCACCCACAGAAGAAGCACCGGCUAACUCCGUGCCAGCAGCCGCGGUAAUACGGAGGGUGCGAGCGUUAAUCGGAAUUACUGGGCGUAAAGCGCGCGUAGGCGGUCUGAUAAGCCGGUUGUGAAAGCCCCGGGCUCAACCUGGGAACGGCAUCCGGAACUGUCAGGCUAGAGUGCAGGAGAGGAAGGUAGAAUUGCCGGUGUAGCGGUGAAAUGCGUAGAGAGCGGGAGGAAUACCAGUGGCGAAGGCGGCCUUCUGGACUGACACUGACGCUGAGGUGCGAAAGCGUGGGUAGCAAACAGGAUUAGAUACCCUAGUAGU